GGGGUUCUGAUCCCGGAUCCCGCUUACUGUUUUGUCAGAUUCCCGUAUCCUGCUUAUACUAUGUACCUAAGCAAUUCUCAUUUUUUUUUGUAAUUUCCAGUGUCCCGCUAGACCUUAAUUCCCGUUUUCACGGCACAAUAAUUUGACUUUCCCGUGUCACGCUUACGAAAAAUCGGUGAUCCCGCGUCACGCUUAGACCCGGCCCCAAUGAGACCCA
rnacentral:lncRNA from 1 species